ACCAGAGUGGUGUAGUGGUUUGAGUGCUGGACUAGGACUCUGGAGACUAGGGUUCGAAUCCUGUCUAGGGCA
rnacentral:tRNA from 1 species